rnacentral:tRNA from 1 species
GGAGGAUGUAGCUCAGUGGUAGAACGUAUUCUUUGCAUGUAUGAGGCCCCGGGUUCGAUCCCCGGCAUCUCCA